UGCUCAUUUAUGCCGGCGACCGGCGCACGGGUGAGUAACACGUAUGCAACCUGUCCGUCUCAGGGGGAUAAUCGUCGGAAACGGCGUCUAAUACCCCGUAUGAAGCUGGACGGCAUCGUCUGGUUUUGAAAGAAUAUCGGAGACGGAUGGGCAUGCGGCGCAUUAGCUAGUUGGCGGGGUAACGGCCCACCAAGGCGACGAUGCGCAGGGGUUCUGAGAGGAAGGUCCCCCACACUGGUACUGAGACACGGACCAGACUCCUACGGGAGGCAGCAGUGAGGAAUAUUGGUCAAUGGGCGAGAGCCUGAACCAGCCAAGUCGCGUGAGGGAGUACUGCCCUAUGGGUUGUAAACCUCUUUUGUCGGGGAGCAAAAGCCGGACGUGUCCGUCUGUGAGAGUACCCGAAGAAAAAGCAUCGGCUAACUCCGUGCCAGCAGCCGCGGUAAUACGGAGGAUGCGAGCGUUAUCCGGAUUUAUUGGGUUUAAAGGGUGCGCAGGCGGAUUUUUAAGUCAGCGGUCAAAUCGUGGGGCUCAACCCCAUCCAGCCGUUGAAACUGGGGAUCUAGAGUGUGCGAGAGGUAUGCGGAAUGCGUGGUGUAGCGGUGAAAUGCAUAGAUAUCACGCAGAACCCCGAUUGCGAAGGCAGCAUACCGGUGCACAACUGACGCUCAGGCACGAAAGCGUGGGUAUCGAACAGGAUUAGAUACCCUGGUAGUCCACGCAGUAUACGAUGAAUGCUACCUGUUUGGCCAGAUUUGAAGCUGAGCGGGACAGCGGAAGCGUUUAGCUUUCCACCUGGGUAGUACGCCGGCAACGGUGAACUCAAAGGAAUUGACGGGGG
rnacentral:rRNA from 1 species